rnacentral:rRNA from 1 species
UACGGGAGGCAGCAGUGGGGAAUAUUGCACAAUGGGCGCAAGCCUGAUGCAGCCAUGCCGCGUGUAUGAAAAAGGCCUUCGGGUUGUAAAGUACUUUCAGUCGUGAGGAAGGUGUUAAGGUUAAUAACCUUAGCAAUUGACGUUAGCGACAGAAGAAGCACCGGCUAACUCCGUGCCAGCAGCCGCGGUAAUACGGAGGGUGCGAGCGUUAAUCGGAAUUACUGGGCGUAAAGGGCACGCAGGCGGUUAAUUAAGUUGGAUGUGAAAUCCCCGGGCUUAACCUGGGAAUGGCAUUCAAGACUGGUUAGCUAGAGUCUUGUAGAGGGGGUAGAAUUCCAUGUGUAGCGGUGAAAUGCGUAGAGAUGUGGAGGAAUACCGGUGGCGAAGGCGGCCCCUGGACAAAGACUGACGCUCAUGUGCGAAAGCUGGGGAGCAAACAGGGAUUAGAUACCCGU